UACGAACUGUGCAAACGUUAUUCGGAUUCACUGGGCGUAAAGGGUGCGUAGGUGGCUUGAAAAGUUUGAUGUGAAAGCUCAGGGCUUAACCCUGAAAUGGCAUUGAAUACUGUCGAGCUGGAGGUUUGGAGAGGGGACUGGAAUUCUUGGUGUAGCAGUGAAAUGCGUAGAUAUCAAGAGGAACACCAGUGGCGAAGGCGAGUCCCUGGACAACACCUGACACUGAGGCACGAAAGCUAGGGGAGCAAACAGG
rnacentral:rRNA from 1 species